rnacentral:rRNA from 1 species
UACCCGCAGCACAAGUGGUGGUCAUUAUUAUUGGGCCUAAAGCGUCCGUAGCUGGCGUGUUAGAUGCCUGGGUAAAUCGAUGCGCUUAACGCAUCGAAUUCCGGGUAGACCGGCACGCUCGAGACCGGGAGAGGUAUGGGGUACUCGGGGGGUAGGGGUAAAAUCCUGUAAUCCUCCGGGGACUACCAGUGGCGAAGGCGCCAUACUAGAACGGCUCUGACAGUGAGGGACGAAGCCCUGGGGCGCAAACCGG